rnacentral:rRNA from 1 species
UACGAAGGGGCUAGCGUUGCUCGGAAUCACUGGGCGUAAAGCGCACGUAGGCGGACUCUUAAGUCGGUGGUGAAAUCCUGGAGCUCAACUCCAGAACUGCCUUCGAUACUGGGAGUCUCGAGUUCGGGAGAGGUGAGUGGAACUGCGAGUGUAGAGGUGAAAUUCGUAGAUAUUCGCAAGAACACCAGUGGCGAAGGCGGCUCACUGGCCCGAUACUGACGCUGAGGUGCGAAAGCGUGGGGAGCAAACAGGG